rnacentral:rRNA from 1 species
AUCGAUGAAGAACGCAGCGAAACGCGAUAGGUAAUGUGAAUUGCAGAAUUCCGUGAAUCAUCGAAUCUUUGAACGCACCUUGCGCUCCAUGGUAUUCCGUGGAGCAUGCCUGUUUGAGUGCCGUGAAUUCUCUCUCCCCAAGCGGUUGCGAUUGCACUGCUUUGGCGGAAGAUGGGAUGGGUGCGUUUCCGCGUGUUUCAAAAAACACAUGCUCCCCCAAAACGUUAUAGCCUCUUGGACACACUCUCCAAACCCCUCUCAGAGAGGGAGCGGCAGAGAGGAGGGAGGAAAUCUGCCCGUCAGCUAUAUCAAAAUCUUUGCCAGGCGGAAGCACGUCAUGUGAUGUCACUUUUGGUGUGUGCGUCUCCUGACGCAGGGGGGAUAUGGGGCGUCUUUCUCUCUCUGCGGGUGUUGGUGCGCUAUACCUAUCCUGCGUGGAGGCUGGUCUGUGCACGCACGUGGCGCAGUUCUUGUGAACGCAUUCCCUUUUUUCAUUUCUGGUCUCAAAUCAGGUAGGAUCACCCGCUGAACUUAAGCAUAUCAAUAAGCGGAGGAA